rnacentral:rRNA from 1 species
CCUACGGGUGGCAGCAGUGGGGAAUAUUGCACAAUGGGGGAAACCCUGAUGCAGCGACGCCGCGUGAAGGAAGAAGUAUUUCGGUAUGGAAACUUCUAUCAGCAGGGAAGAAAAUGACGGUACCUGACUAAGAAGCUCCGGCUAACUACGUGCCAGCAGCCGCGGGAAUACGGAGGGGGCAAGCGUUAUCCGGAUUUACUGGGUGUAAAGGGAGCGUAGGCGGCGAUGCAAGUCAGAAGUGAAAGUCCGGGGCUCAACUCCGGGAUUGCUGUUGAAACUGUGUUGCUAGAUUGCAGGAGAGGUAAGUGGAAUUCCUGGUGUAGCGGUGAAAUGCGUAGAUAUUAGGAGGAACACCAGUGGCGAAGGCAGCUUACUGGACUGUAAAUGACGCUGAGGCUCGAAAGCGUGGGGAGCAAACAGGAUUAGAUACCCGGGUAGUC